rfam:Solanum tuberosum cultivar DM 1-3 516 R44 scf00115_74, whole genome shotgun sequence.
CCUCUUAGUGAGGAAGAUCUUACAUUGUAUAUUCUUGGUGGCUUAGAUCCCGAUUAUGAUGCAUUGGUGGUCUCUAUUACCUAUAGAGUUGAAAUCAUAUCCCUUGCUGACUUACAUGGGUUUUUGCUAAGCCAUGAGA